rnacentral:rRNA from 1 species
GACGGGGGGUCCUAGCGUUGUUCGGAAUCAUUGGGCGUAAAGCGUGUGCAGGUGGUCUUGUAAGUCAGAUGUGAAAGCCCCGAGCUCAACUCGGGAAGUGCAUUUGAAACUACAAAACUUGAAUAUGGAAGAGGGUCGUGGAAUUCCUGGUGUAGUGGUGAAAUACGUAGAUAUCAGGAGGAACACCGGCGGCGAAGGCGGCGGCCUGGGCCGUACCUGACGCUGAGGCGCGAAGGCUAGGGGAGCGAACGGG